rnacentral:rRNA from 1 species
AAUACAUGCAAGUCGAACGAGAAAGUUUCCGUCGGGGAGCGAGUAAAGUGGCGCACGGGUGAGUAACACGUAGGUGACCUGCCGUAUAGUGGGGGAUAACAGAGAGAAGUCUCUGCUAAUACCGCAUGAGCUAGACGAAUUUGAAAGUAGUCUAGGAAAGAUGGCCAAUGCGAAAGUAUGCUAUUGCUAUAUGAAGGGCCUGCGCACCAUUAGCUAGUUGGUAGAGUAACGGCCUACCAAGGCGAUUAUGGUUAGCCGGUCUGAGAGGAUGAUCGGCCACACUGGAACUGAGACACGGUCCAGACUCCUACGGGAGGCAGCAGUAGGGAAUCUUGCGCAAUGGGCGAAAGCCUGACGCAGCGAUGCCGCGUGAGUGAGGAAGGCCUUCGGGUUGUAAAGCUCUGUCCUAGGGGACAAAAAGAUGUAUAAAAAUAUUAUAUAUAUUGAUGGUACCUUAGAAGAAAGCACCGGCCAACUUCGUGCCAGCAGCCGCGGUAAUACGAAGGGUGCAAGCGUUGUUCGGAUUUAUUGGGCGUAAAGGGCGAGUAGGCGGAUUAUUAAGUCAGGUGUGAAAUCUCGGGGCCUAACCCCGAAACUGCGCCUGAAACUGGUAAUCUAGGAUCCCGGAGGGGAAAGGGGAAUUUCGCAUGUAGGAGUAAAAUCCGUAGAGAUGCGAAGGAACACCAGAGGCGAAGGCGCCUUUCUGGCCGGGAAUCGACGCUGAGGCGCGAAAGCGUGGGGAGCAAACAGGAUUAGAUACCCUGGUAGUCCACGCUGUAAACGAUGAGCACUAGUUAUUGGGUUGGAGACAAUUCAGUGACGUAGCAAACGCGAUAAGUGCUCCGCCUGGGGAGUACGGCCGCAAGGUUAAAACUCAAAGGAAUUGACGGGGGCCCGCACAAGCGGUGGAUUAUGUGGUUUAAUUCGAAACCACGCGAAGAACCUUACCUGGGUUUGAAAUCCCACGAACCUGCUAGAGAUAGCGGGGUGCUCUUCGGAGAAUGUGGUGACAGGUGCUGCAUGGCUGUCGUCAGCUCGUGUUGUGAAAUGUUGGGUUAAGUCUCGCAACGAGCGGAACCCUUGUCCUUAGUUGCCAGCAUUAAGUUGGGCACUCUAAGGAGACCGCCGGGGUUAACCCGGAGGAAGGUGGGGAUGACGUCAAGUCCUCAUGGCCCUUAUGUCCAGGGCUACACACGUAAUACAAUGGGUAGUACAAAGGGAUGCCAACCAGCGAUGGGGAGCUAAUCUCAAAAAACUACUCUCAGUCCGGAUUGAAGUCUGCAACUCGACUUCAUGAAGUUGGAAUCGCUAGUAAUCGCGGAUCAGCAACGCCGCGGUGAAUACGUUCCCGGGCCUUGUACGC